rnacentral:miRNA from 1 species
UGGAUUGAGCAGUCGUUGCUUCGGU